GACGAACGCUGGCGGCGUGCUUAACACAUGCAAGUCGAGCGGUAAGGCCCUUUCGGGGGUACACGAGCGGCGAACGGGUGAGUAACACGUGGGUGACCUGCCCUCAGCUCUGGGAUAAGCCUGGGAAACCGGGUCUAUACUGGAUAUGACUCCAUGACGCAUGUUGUGGGGUGGAAAGACCUUGUGCGGCUGAGGAUGGGCCCGCGGCCUAUCAGCUUGUUGGUGGGGUGGAGGCCUACCAAGGCGACGACGGGUAGCCGGCCUGAGAGGGCGACCGGCCACACUGGGACUGAGACACGGCCCAGACUCCUACGGGAGGGCAGCAGUGGGGAAGUCUUGCGCAAUGGGCGAAAGCCUGACGCAGCGACGCCGCGUGAGGGAU
rnacentral:rRNA from 1 species